UACAGAGGGUGCGAGCGUUAAUCGGAAUUACUGGGCGUAAAGCGUGCGUAGACGGUUAUUUAAGUCGGAUGUGAAAGCCCUCGGCUUAACUGAGGAAGUGCAUCCGAAACUGAGCAGCUAGAGUACGAAAGAGGGUCGCGGAAUUCCCGGUGUAGAGGUGAAAUUCGUAGAUAUCGGGAGGAACACCGGUGGCGAAGGCGGCGACCUGGGUCGAGACUGACGCUGAGGCGCGAAAGCGUGGGGAGCAAACAGG
rnacentral:rRNA from 1 species